AGCGAACGCUGGCGGCAGGCCUAACACAUGCAAGUCGAACGGAUCCUUCGGGAUUAGUGGCGGACGGGUGAGUAACACGUGGGAACGUGCCCUUUGGUUCGGAACAACUCAGGGAAACUUGAGCUAAUACCGGAUGUGCCCUUCGGGGGAAAGAUUUAUCGCCGUUGGAGCGGCCCGCGUCUGAUUAGCUAGUUGGUGAGGUAAAGGCUCACCAAGGCGACGAUCAGUAGCUGGUCUGAGAGGAUGAUCAGCCACAUUGGGACUGAGACACGGCCCAAACUCCUACGGGAGGCAGCAGUGGGGAAUCUUGCGCAAUGGGCGGAAGCCUGACGCAGCCAUGCCGCGUGAAUGAUGAAGGUCUUAGGAUUGUAAAAUUCUUUCACCGGGGACGAUAAUGACGGUACCCGGAGAAGAAGCCCCGGCUAACUUCGUGCCAGCAGCCGCCGUAACAC
rnacentral:rRNA from 1 species